rnacentral:rRNA from 1 species
UCCUACGGGAGGCAGCAGUGGGGAAUCUUAGACGAUGGGCGCAAGCCUGAUCUAGCCAUGCCGCGUGAUCGAUGAAGGCCUUAGGGUUGUAAAGAUCUUUCAGUGGGGAAGAUAAUGACUGUACCCACAGAAGAAGCCCCGGCUAACUCCGUGCCAGCAGCCGCGGUAAUACGGAGGGGGCUAGCGUUGUUCGGAAUUACUGGGCGUAA